AACGAACGCUGGCGGCAUGCCUAACACAUGCCAGUCGAACGCUCCCUUCGGGGCUAGUGGCGCACGGGUACUUGCCGCCUGGGAACCUGCGCUUAGGUUCGCUAUCUCGCAGCGAAAUUUGACCUAUUACCACGUUAUCUCUUCGCACCUAAGAUUUAUCGCCUUGUGAUGUGCCCUCGUUGGAUUAGAUUGUAGGUGGGGUAAAGGCCUACCAAGGGGAAGAUCCAUAGCUGGUCUGAGAGGAUGAUCAGCAACACUGCGACUGAGACACGGACCAGACUCUUACGGGAGGAAGCAGGUGGGAAUAUGGGACAAUGGGCGAAAGAAUGAGCCAGCAAGGUCGUGUGAGUGAGGAAGGACUUAGGGUUGUAAAGCUCUGUUAACAGGGAUGAUAAUGACAGUACCGGGAGAAUAAGCCACGGCUAACUCCGUG
rnacentral:rRNA from 1 species